CCGUUGUCGGUGCCGUAGGGAAGCCGUGAAGCGAGCCACCUGGGAAGUACGGCCGCAAGGCUGAACUUUAAAGGAAUUGGCGGGGGAGCACCACACCGGGUGGAGCUUGCGGUUUAAUUGGAUUCAACGCCGGAAAUCUUACCGGGACCGACAGCAAUAUGAAGGCCAGGCUGAAGACUUUGCCGGAUUAGCUGAGAGGUGGUGCAUGGCCGUCGUCAGUUCGUACUGUGAAGCAUCCUGUUAAGUCAGGCAGCGAGCGAGACCCACGCCCACAGUUGCCAGCGUACUCUCUGGAGUGACGGGUACACUGUGGGGACCGCCGCUGCUAAAGCGGAGGAAGGAAUGGGCAACGGUAGGUCAGUAUGCCCCGAAUAUCCCGGGCUACACGCGAGCUACAAUGGUUGGUACAAUGGGUAUCUACCCCGAAAGGGGACGGGAAUCUCCUAAAACCAAUCUUAGUUCGGAUUGAGGGCUGCAACUCGCCCUCAUGAAGCUGGAAUCCGUAGUAAUCGCGUUUCAACAGAACGCGGUGAAUACGUCCCUGCUCCUUGCACACACCGCCCGUCAAACCACCCGAGUAGGGUCUGAAUGAGAGUGCUUUCUUUGGAGGCGUUCGAAUUUGGGCUUUGCAAGGGGGGUUAAGUCGUAACAAGGUAGCCGUA
rnacentral:rRNA from 1 species